rnacentral:rRNA from 1 species
AUUGAACGCUGGCGGCAUGCCUUACACAUGCAAGUCGAACGGUAACAGGUCUUCGGAUGCUGACGAGUGGCGAACGGGUGAGUAGUACAUCGGAACGUGCCUAGUAGUGGGGGAUAACUACUCGAAAGAGUGGCUAAUACCGCAUGAGAUCUACGGGUGAAAGCAGGGGAUCGCAAGACCUUGUGCUACUAGAGCGGCCGAUGGCAGAUUAGGUAGUUGGUGGGAUAAAAGCUUACCAAGCCGACGAUCUGUAGCUGGUCUGAGAGGACGAUCAGCCACACUGGGACGGAGACACGGCCCAGACUCCUACGGGAGGCAGCAGUGGGAAAUUUUGGACAAUGGGCGCAAGCCUGAUCCAGCAAUGCCGCGUGCAGGAUGAAGGCCUUCGGGUUGUAAACUGCUUUUGUACGGAACGAAAAGCCCUGGGUUAAUACCCUGGGGUCAUGACGGUACCGUAAGAAUAAGCACCGGCUAACUACGUGCCAGCCGCCGCCGUAA